UACGUAUGGGGCGAGCGUUGUUCGGAGUUAUUGGGCGUAAAGGGCGUGUAGGCGGCUCAUCAAGUUUGGUGUGAAAUCGCAGGGCUCAACCCUGCGUAUGCGCUGGAAACUGGUGGGCUGGAGUUCCUGAGGGGAAGCUGGAAUUCCAGGUGUAGGGGUGACAUCUGUAGAUAUCUGGAAGAACACCGGUGGCGAAGGCGAGCUUCUAUCGGAGGACUGACGCUGAGGCGCGAAAGCGUGGGGAG
rnacentral:rRNA from 1 species